UUUCCAAGUGUGAGCCAAUCAGAGAAUCUUGAACGAUCUUGAAAUCUUGAAUUUCCGUCGAAGGCUUUGGGCGUUGCCUCGGAUAAAUGGGAAGAAUAAGAAAAUGUUUCGUUCCUGGGUGCGUGUCAUGCAGUGAGCACACUGGAAUCAAAUUCUUCUAUUUUCCCAGGGAUUCAGCACAGUAUGAGCCAGAUGUAAAAUAUUAUUAUAAAACAUACUGUAAAAUUUUGGCCAGUGUUAUUAAAGGAGCUAAAAUUCUUCAUUAUAAUUCAUUUCUAAUUAUAGUAACAAAAUGAAAACCACCUGGAGCAACAACGAGAAGUCCCCGUUGAAGACGCCGUAGUGAAACUGUUCAAAGGACGGAUGUAGCAGCAUAGGGACCAAGCUGCAGAGCGACGCGGGGAGCCAAAGAAACUGACCUGAGGAGAUUGUGGAUCCCAGAUGAAGUUGGCUGCCGCCUGCAGGAAGGUGUCCCGCCUUGAAACAAUGGCAGGGCGCAAGGUGAACAUCUUCAAGGAAAUUGUGGACUGCAGAAAGAAUUAACCGCAUCCAGGAGGAAUAUUACACGCUGUGCAGGACACAGACAUAUGGAACAAAACAAAGACGAUGUCACACCAAGAGGCCUGAAAGUAGGGACUUUGAUGCACUGAAGUGUUAAUGCUUGCUAAGCUCAUGAAAUAUGAGCAUGUGGACUCACUGAUGUCUGUUGGGAAGUAGGAGGGUAUAGUUAGAGUGGUAGGAUAAGAGGGAGAGGCUAAGAAGCACAUGGGAUGGAAAUCUUCAAAAUUCAUACCAUUCUGCUGCUUUUUCCUGAGCAUGCUUCUGCUGUACAUGUUACCAGCAUAAGGGACUGCCAAAUUGCAGUCAAAAUAAAUACUGGCUUCUCAUUAGAUAUCACAUUUUUGUAAUCAGGUUGUCAAAAAUGAAGGUUAGCUCAAAAUAUAACCCAUAAGUUCCUGUGAUUUCCUUUAACCCUAUUUGGGUGGAGUCGUGUAUUUUUAUUGGAAGUGAAGGAUUGGUAAAGCGUUUGCCUUUAACCCUGAAGAUAGAGGCGAAAUAUUCCUUCGAAAUAUCAGGUGACUUUCACCUCAUUACAUGACAUAUCCCAGAAGACAGAAUUCUUCAUGGGCACUGCUGUAAGAACCUCAACUCCAACAUUAUUUGUUACAAUUAUCUUAGUAGUCUGCAUCCUGUUGUGUGUCAUAAACAAGGUAAAUAAAAUUUAUACGAAAGUAUGCAGUCAACACAACAAUAUUCUGUAUUUUAAACAAAACAGACUAUCGUAUCAACAUUUGCCUUUAUCGAGGCUAGAGCACCAAGACUGCAUACUUUUGUAUACAGUUUAUGUAAUUUGAUUUGUCCCAUUCUGGUCCAUCACACUAUUAAUUACAAAGUGGAUAAUUUUCAGUCCAGUGUGACAUACAAGUUUAUAACACUUCAAUCUUUAUUCAGCUUACAUGUUUCGAUUCAAAAGAAUCAUCCUCAGAGGCGCACCACUACGAUCAGGAAACACUGUCACAUAAGAUGUUUUAAUAAUAUGCACUUAUGCUAUGAAUAUGUACCUUGAUUAUGUGUUAUUGUCAGUGGGAAUGUACCUUCAAAUAUGUUUAAUGUUGUGUGCCUUAUUGUACUCAGUACAGUUUAAGGAGUUGCCUUUCAUGUUGUUUUAUAUUGCACUAGCUGUAAUAAGCAGUGAUCCAAAAGUGUGGCAAACAUGAGGAAGUGUAACAGGUUAAAAUUAUGGUUAUAAACAGAAGUGCGCUUGUUUCUCACCACAGAUAACAUUGUAGAGUGGGGGGGGGCACUGGUUUAUGGUAUAGCAAAUUUUUUUUAAUGUCACUACAAUAUAUAAUUAAUCGUUAUUUACUUUUCUCAUACAAAUACAGACGAGAAUCAUGUAUGAAUCGUACAUUUUUUCAUAUCUUCCAAUUGCUUACGUAAAACAGUGAGUGGCAGAUAAUUAAAUGUGAAGUGAGGGAUUCUUAUUAAUAGUUGUAUUUGUGCAUUGGAGGGGCAUAACCAUUGUCUUUAUAAGGCCACUAUCAUGAUGCUUGCAAAGUGUGCAUUCUCAUGAGAAUGUGCAAGUAUUGGUUCAUUCCCAUUUGUUUAGGCAUACUGGUCCCGUGGCCUUCAUUUAUUCACGCCUCUUCCAUUCAGUCCUGGCAAGGGAGGUUUGUGUUCUUCAGAACCCACCUUUUUGUAAAUGCUGGAAACCUGGACAAUGUUUAUUUAGGUAAGAGACAUUUUCACCUAGUUCUGUGGUUCAUGUCUGCUGACAUGUUUGUAUACUCCUGUAUAUGCAGGACAAGUAUUUUUGUUUGUGUAGUCUUUUUUAUGGCAGUGUCAGUGGCUACAGCCUACCUGUAUAUCAUCAAAUGGUUGGAUGAACGAUGAUGAUUUGGAAGGUAGUGGUUAUGACAUGACUGAAUGUACCAUACCAUUAUUUGCCUGCAUGGUCUGAGGAAAACCAUCAGAGACCUCAGUCAGGAUAGUUAAUGUACUGGCCAAGAUUCAACACAGGUGCCUCCUUAAUACUAGUCAUGUUACUGCUUGAGCCAGCUGCAGUAAAUAUUAUAGGAAAAUUGACAGUUUCUUGAUGUAAAUUUGCAUUAGCCCUAUUUUCUGAAAACCAUGAUUUAUUAUAAGGAACACCAUUUUCUGGGAACUUCAUUAAAUAAGGGUUUAGUUGUAAUUACACUUGAGGAGGUAAUAUAGCUCUGUGUUAGCAUUAAUAGUGAUGGAAAAAGUUAAGAGAGAAAUUCCUUCAGUGUUCAUUCAGAAUUAAAAGCUUUGUAAACCUGGAAUACUUAUUUCAGAAGUAUCACUUUUUUAUUACAGGUCAAGAAAUGCCUACGAGUUUUCAGGCUUUGAUGAGAACUGUGCGGAUGGCAUAUGGGAUUGGUGUGGCACUACGUCUUGACCAGAUGGGAUGUAUUAGCUGAAUUAUUGUAUACCUGUCCUUUACUGGCGUGAAGACCAGCCAAAUCCUGGUGUGCAGUUUGGUAUAGGUGUUCAUUUCCCAUAAUUAAAAU